rnacentral:rRNA from 1 species
GACCAGACUCCUACGGGAGGCAGCAGUGAGGAAUAUUGGUCAAUGGCCGAGAGGCUGAACCAGCCAAGUCGCGUGAGGGAAGACGGCCCUACGGGUUGUAAACCUCUUUUGUCGGGGAGCAAAGCGAGUCACGUGUGACUCAUUGAGAGUACCCGAAGAAAAAGCAUCGGCUAACUACGUGCCAGCAGCCGCGGUAAUACGUAGGGGGCGAGCGUUAUCCGGAUUUACUGGGUGUAAAGGGAGCGUAGACGGCGUCGCAAGUCUGAAGUGAAAGCCCGUGGCUCAACCGCGGAACCGCUUUGGAAACUGCGAGGCUGGAGUGUUGGAGAGGUAAGCGGAAUUCCUGGUGUAGCGGUGAAAUGCGUAGAUAUCAGGAGGAACACCGGUGGCGAAGGCGGCUUACUGGACAGUGACUGACGUUGAGGCUCGAAAGCGUGGGGAGCGAACAGGAUUAGAUACCCGAGUACU